GGCCCUUUAGCUCAGCGGUUAGAGCAAGCGACUCAUAAUCGCUUGGUCGCUGGUUCGAGUCCAGCAAGGGCCA
rnacentral:tRNA from 1 species